AUUGAACGCUGGCGGCAGGCCUAACACAUGCAAGUCGAGCGGAUGAAGGGAGCUUGCUCCUGGAUUCAGCGGCGGACGGGUGAGUAAUGCCUAGGAAUCUGCCUGGUAGUGGGGGAUAACGUCCGGAAACGGGCGCUAAUACCGCAUACGUCCUGAGGGAGAAAGUGGGGGAUCUUCGGACCUCACGCUAUCAGAUGAGCCUAGGUCGGAUUAGCUAGUUGGUGGGGUAAAGGCCUACCAAGGCGACGAUCCGUAACUGGUCUGAGAGGAUGAUCAGUCACACUGGAACUGAGACACGGUCCAGACUCCUACGGGAGGCAGCAGUGGGGAAUAUUGGACAAUGGGCGAAAGCCUGAUCCAGCCAUGCCGCGUGUGUGAAGAAGGUCUGCGGAUUGUAAAGCACUUUAAGUUGGGAGGAAGGGCAGUAAGUUAAUACCUGGCUGUUUUGACGUUACCAACAGAAUAAGCACCGGCUAACUUCGU
rnacentral:rRNA from 1 species